UACGGAGGGUGCAAGCGUUAAUCGGAAUUACUGGGCGUAAAGCGUGCGCAGGCGGUUGUGCAAGACCGAUGUGAAAUCCCCGGGCUUAACCUGGGAAUGGCAUUGGUGACUGCACGGCUAGAGUGUGUCAGAGGGGGGUAGAAUUCCACGUGUAGCAGUGAAAUGCGUAGAGAUGUGGAGGAAUACCGAUGGCGAAGGCAGCCCCCUGGGAUAACACUGACGCUCAUGCACGAAAGCGUGGGGAGCAAACAGG
rnacentral:rRNA from 1 species